rnacentral:rRNA from 1 species
AGUUGCGGCCAUACCCAGAAGAGAACACAGUUCCCCGUCUGAUCAGCAAACAAGCUUCUUUGGGCCUACUUAGUACAGCAGUGGGAGACCACGCUGGAAUCGCAGGUGCUGCAAUUA